rnacentral:lncRNA from 1 species
AGUUUAUGGAGUUGAGCACACAGGCAGGUGCUGGACCAGAAAGGACACACUUUUCCAGGCUUGGCUCGGGGUCUUCAUGAUGCUUUAAAGUUUGAUGGUCUGGAGCGGAAAUGCCAGAGCAACCUGCAGGUGAUAAAGAAGAACAGGUCAGUGCUGCUAGUCACUCAGGCAAAGAAACACAGUACUGGAAGGCAAACAUGCAUUUGGAUGAAUUGUGAAUUUUUUGCCGGAAUCUCUCUGAAUAUCCUGUGAGAUUAAGGUCAGGAGAUUAUGGAAAUACUUUACCAGUGGCAAGACAAGCUUCCUUAGCAAGACUUAUUCAAAAGUAAAUGCCCUGGUUUCAGUGACCUUGGUAAAAUCUGAGGAUGUACAUAACUAUUUGCCACAAGUCAUUAACCAGUUAUAUUGCUGAACUAAAAGAAGUAGAAGUAGGUCCCAUUCAU